rnacentral:lncRNA from 1 species
AGGGACUGUGUGGGGUGUAGCAGAAAGGAUGCAGACUACUGGCUCUCAGAGGAUUGCUACCUGUGGUCAUGAAUUAAAAUGGAUAUCCAACUGUUCCAUGAGGCAACGAAUGGGGAUUUUACAUAUUAAUCUCAUUCUUUAGAUCAGCAUUGUCUGCUGGAGCUCUCUGCUACCUGGGAAGGCUCUGCAUUUGGGCUGUCAAAGCCACAAGCUCAGACAAUGAAGAUGGCAAACUGAAGUCUUCCUCUAUAGGCACAACUUUGCAUCAGACAUUUGAUGGGAGAGGUCCAUCUUUGAAGGGAAGUUUUAUUUAAGUCUGUCCCUGGAUCCACAUCAUCCGUACGUCUGUCUACAGGGCAAAAAACUUCAUCUUUCAUGAGUGCAAUUUCAAACUUGGUGCCAACGAGAGACAUCUUCCCUGGACUCAAAUGCGCGAAGCCUGAACAGGACAUCUUGAGUGUUAGCUUCUCUGGGAUGGCUGCGGUGUGCAGCACAUUUUUGUUAAGGUGUUAUUCAAAGUUUCUGAUUAACAUAAGUUUUUCUUAAAAUUAUACAAAAACAUAAUACCAUGAUUAUGGAAAUAAAAAGCCACCCACAAGCUUACUAUCUUUACAAA